rnacentral:tRNA from 2 species
GCCACCGUAGCUCAGUGGUAGAGCACACCCUUGGUAAGGGUGAGGUCAUGGGUUCGAGUCCCAUCGGUGGCU